rnacentral:tRNA from 1 species
UGUGAAGUAGCCCGUAAGUGGAAGCGGUGCGGUCUGUAAAACCGUUGUCUUUCGACCUUGUAAGUUCGAUUCUUACCUUCACAA